UUAAAAACUACAAAACAUUCAUGGCCUAAGUAUAUGAAAGGAUAUUCUUCGGCCAUCAUCUUUGAAGAUUAAUGAGUUUAUAAUAUGAAAAGAAGUAAGUGUGUUUCAAAAAAAAAAAAAAAAAACAAAAGUAGGUGUGUUUCUAUUCGUGAUGAGCAAGCCUUACAGCUUGAAAGUAACAUGAAAGAUGUAUCUUGAAACCUUGGGAAAGUUUCCUAAGUUAAGAAGGCGCAUGCUUUGUUUGGUUUUGAGAAUCGGUACUAAACAUCGCCCCUGUAAUUGUACACGCU
rnacentral:lncRNA from 1 species